GGUUUGAUCCUGGCUCAGAUUGAAUGCUGCUGGCGGAUGCUUUACAAUAUGCAAGUCGAACGGCAGCACGGACUUCGGUCUGUAGCGAGUGGCGAAACGGCAUAAUAAUGGAACGUGUUCAGAAGCGGGGGGAUAACUACGCGAAAGCGUAGCUAAUACCGCAUACGCCCUUCGGGGAAAGUGGGACCUUUCGCCUGCAAUUAUUAGGGAGCGGCCAGAUAUCGGUUAGCUGGGGUUGGUGGGGUAACGGCUCACUGAAGGCGAUGAUCCGUAGCUGGUUUGAGAGGACGACCAGCCACACUGACCGCGACAUGGCCCAGACUCCUACGGAGGCAGCAGUGGGGAAUUUUGGACAAUGGGGGAAACCCUGAUCCAGCCAUCCCGCGUGUGCGAUGAAGGCCUUCGGGUUGUAAAGCACUUUUGGCAGAAAGAAACGGCACGGGAUAUCACCUCGUAACCGAUCGGUACCUGCAGAAUAAGCACCGGCUAACUACGUGCCAGCAGCCGCGGUAAUACGUAGGGUGCAAGUGUUAAUCGGAAUUACUGGGCGUAAAGCGUGCGCAGGCGGUUCGGAAAGAAAGAUGUGAAAAUCCCAGAGUUUAACUUGGAACCGCAUUUUUAACUACCAGCCAGAGGGCCGAGAGGGAGGUGGAAUUCGCGUAGCAGGAAAUGUAGAUAUGCGGAGGAACACCGAUGGCGAAGGCAGCCUCCUGUGAUAACACUGACGCUCGCGCACGAAAGCGUGGGGAGCAAACAGGAGUCGAUACUCUGGGUAGUCCGCCCUAAACGAUGUCAACUAGCUGUUGGGGCCUUUCGGCCUGUGUAGCGCAGCUAACGCGGUUGACCGCCUAGAGCAUGGUCGCAAAGAUUGAAACGCCAAAGGAAUUGAUUGGGACCCGUAUGCCGGUGGAUGAUGGAUUAAUCGAUGCAAUGAAAACUCAUCAUACCCUUGACAUGUCUGGAAUCCCGAAGUAUCGGGAGUGCUCGCAAGAUAACCCGGAACACAGGCAUGGCUGUCGUCAAUGUCGUGAGAUAAAAGAAGAGUCCCGCAACGAGCGCAACCUUGCUGCUGAAGUUGCUACGAAAGGGCACGAUGAGACUGCCGGUGACAAACCGAGGAAGGUGGACGAUGUCAAGUCCUCUGCGGCUCUUAUGGGUAGGCCAUGACUGGCCGGCGCACAGCCGGUCGGGACAGUGGUCGCUAACCGGCAGAGGGAGCCAAUCCCGAACCCGAUCGUAGUCCGAUCGCAGUCUGCAAUCGACUGCGUGAAGCUUGAAUCAGCGGUAAUCGCGGAUCAGCAUCGCGUGAAUACGUUCCCGGGUCUUGCAAGACACCGCCCGUCACACCAUGGGAGUGGGUUUUACCAGAAGUAGUUAGCCUAACCGUAAGGAGGCGAUUACCACGGUAGGAUUUAUGACUGUGGGUGAAGCCAACAAGGUAA
rnacentral:rRNA from 1 species